rnacentral:ncRNA from 1 species
ACCGUCCUUAUCUUGGGGUUGCGCGGCCGCCCGAUGAACGCGUGGUGAGGGCGGCACUGCUAACGCCAGGCAACACAACCGGCGCCCGCUCAGCAGAGCGAGGCGCAAUUUUUGGAACC